rnacentral:rRNA from 1 species
UGCAAGUCGCACGAGAAGAGGCUUCGGCCUUUGUAAAGUGGCGCACGGGUGAGUAAUACGUGGGUAAUGUACCUUCGGGCGGGGGAUAACAUUCCGAAAGGAAUGCUAAUACCGCAUAGGACCACGACCUCGAGAGGGGUUGGGGUGAAAGCAGGCCUCUAUAUAUAAGCUUGCACCUGAAGAUCAGCCCGCGGCCCAUCAGCUAGUUGGUAGGGUAAUGGCCUACCAAGGCUAAGACGGGUACCUGGUCUGAGAGGAUGAUCAGGCACACUGGAACUGAGAUAUGGUCCAGACUCCUACGGGAGGCAGCAGUGGGGAAUCUUGCGCAAUGGGCGAAAGCCUGACGCAGCGACGCCGCGUGAGUGAUGAAGGCCUUCGGGUUGUAAAGCUCUGUGGGGAGAGAAGAAUAAGUCAUGGUUAAUAUCCAUGAUGAUGAUGGUAUCUCCUUAGCAAGCACCGGUUAACUCUGUGCCAGCAGCCGCGGUAAGACAGAGGGUGCAAACGUUGUUCGGAAUUACUGGGCGUAAAGCGUGUGUAGGCGGUGAGGUAAGUCAGGUGUGAAAGCCCGGAGUUUAACUUCGGAAGUGCACUUGAUACUGCUUCGCUUGAGUACUGGAGAGGUUGGUGGAAUUCUCGGUGUAGAGGUGAAAUUUGUAGAUAUCGAGAGGAACAUCGGUGGCGAAGGUGGCCAACUGGACAGAUACUGACGCUGAGACACGAAAGCGCGGGGAGCAAACAGGAUUAGAUACCCUGGUAGUCCGCGCCGUAAAUGAUGAGUGCUAGGUGUCACGGGCUUUGAUUCCUGUGGUGCCGUAGCCAAUGCAUUAAGCACUCCGCCUGGGAAGUACGGCCGCAAGGCUAAAACUCAAAGGAAUUGACGGGGGCCCGUACAAGCGGUGGAGCAUGUGGUUUAAUUCGACUAUGCGAAGAACCUUACCUAGGCUAGAAAACACAGGAACCUGGGAGAAGUCUCGGGGUGCUCUUCGGAGAAUCUGUGGUUAGGUGCUGCAUGGCUGUCGUCAGCUCGUGUCGUGAGAUGUUGGGUUAAGUCCCGCAACGAGCGCAACCCCUAUCAUUAGUUGCCAACGGGUUAUGCCGGGAACUCUAAUGAGACCGCCGAUAUUUAAAUCGGAGGAAGGUGGGGACGACGUCAAGUCAUCAUGGCCCUUAUGUCUAGGGCUACACACGUGCUACAAUGGUCGGUACAGAACGUUGCUAACCCGCGAGGGGGAGCCAAUCGGUAAAAACCGGCCUCAGUAUAGAUAAGAGUCUGUAAUUUGACUCUUUGAAGUUGGAAUCGCUAGUAAUCCCUGAUUAGUAGGCAGGGGUGAAUACGUUCCCGGGCCUUGUAUAUAUCGCCCGUCACACCAUGGAAGUCGUUUGCUCCAGAAGUACCUGUGCCAACCGUAAGGAGGCAGGGUCCCAAGGAGUGACCGGUAACUGGGGUGAAGUUGAAAUAAGGUA